AGCAGCUGCAUCAACUUCCUUUGCCUGGAGAAACACUUACAAGGAAUUAGAUUAAAGGGACACACAGCUUCCCCUGGGAUGUGGAGCCCUGAUCCUGAAUACUACAGGCAGCCAAAAAGGAUAUCCUUGCUCAGGAAGAAAAGCCAACCAGAUUCAGCAAAGGAAAAACCUGAGGGGUUGCCUCAGAAUGCCAAGCGAUCUAAAGUCACUCAAGAAGAGUCCAAAGGCACGAGGAAGAAAAAGGCAAGCUUGCCACAUGAAAAGGAGUCCUUUUACUUUCAGCGAUCUUGAAAAAGGUUUCCAAUACACCCACACCGUUUCCUUCACAGCAGAAUCAAGGAUACCAUAAAUCAUUCUUGAAAGGUU